CCUACGGGUGGCAGCAGUGAGGAAUAUUGGUCAAUGGAGGCAACUCUGAACCAGCCAAGUAGCGUGCAGGAUGACGGCCCUAUGGGUUGUAAACUGCUUUUAUGCGGGGAUAAAGUGACUCACGUGUGGCUCAUUGCAGGUACCGCAUGAAUAAGGACCGGCUAAUUCCGUGCCAGCAGCCGCGGUAAUACGGAAGGUCCGGGCGUUAUCCGGAUUUAUUGGGUUUAAAGGGAGCGGAGGCCGCCCCUUAAGCGUGUUGUGAAAUGCCGGGGCUCAACCGGGGCACUGCAGCGCGAACUGGGGGGCUUGAGUGAGCGGGAGGCAGGCGGAAUUCGUGGUGUAGCGGUGAAAUGCUUAGAUAUGACGAAGAACUCCGAUUGCGAAGGCAGCCUGCUGUAGCGUAACUGACGCUGAGGCUCGAAGGCGCGGGUAUCGAACAGGAUUAGAUACCCGUGUAGUC
rnacentral:rRNA from 1 species